GCUGGCCUUUAGUCCCAGCUACUCAGGAGGCUGAGGCAGGAGAAUUGCUUGAGCCCAGGAGUUCUGAGCUGUCAUGCACUAUGCCAGCUGGGUGUCUGCACUAAGUUUAGCAUCAAUAUGGUGACCUCCCGAGAUCAGGGAAUCACCAUGUUGCCUAAGGAGGGGUGAACUAGCCCAGGUCUGAAACGGAACAGGUCAGGACCCCUGUGCUGAUCAGUAGUGACAUCGUGCCUGUGAAUAGCCACUGUACUUCAGGCUGGGCAACACAGCAAGACCUUGUCUCAC
rfam:Nomascus leucogenys chromosome 19, whole genome shotgun sequence.